UACGGGGGGAGCAAGCGUUGUUCGGAAUUACUGGGCGUAAAGCGCACGUAGGCGGCUUUGUAAGUUAGAGGUGAAAGCCCGGGGCUCAACUCCGGAAUUGCCUUUAAGACUGCAUCGCUAGAAUUGUGGAGAGGUAAGUGGAAUUCCGAGUGUAGAGGUGAAAUUCGUAGAUAUUCGGAAGAACACCAGUGGCGAAGGCGACUUACUGGACACAUAUUGACGCUGAGGUGCGAAAGCGUGGGGAGCAAACAGG
rnacentral:rRNA from 1 species